rnacentral:tRNA from 1 species
GCCCGGAUGGCGAAAUAGGUAGACGCAGUAGAUUCAAAAUCUGCCGGCCGUGAGGUCAUGCCGGUUCGAUUCCGGCUCCGGGCA